rnacentral:rRNA from 1 species
CGGCCGUAACUAUAACGGUCCUAAGGUAGCGAAAUUCCUUGUCGGGUAAGUUCCGACCUGCACGAAUGGCGUAACGAUCUCCACACUGUCUCGGCCAGAGACUCGGUGAAAUUGCAGUCGCGGUGAAAAUUCCGUGUACCCGCAGAAAGACGGAAAGACCCUGUGCACCUUUACUAUAGCUUGACAUUGGAUUUUGGGCCUGCAUGUGUAGGAUAGGUGGGAGGCUGUGAACCCUGUACGCCAGUAUGGGGGGAGCCAUCCUUGAAAUACCACCCUUGCAUGUUUAAGAUCCUAACUUCUUCCGGUUAUCCCGGAGAAAGACAGUGUCUGGCGGGUAGUUUGACUGGGGCGGUCGCCUCCUAAAGUGUAACGGAGGCAUGCAAAGGUUCCCUCAGCCUGAUCGGAAACCAGGCGCUGAGUGCAAACGCAUAAGGGAGCUUGACUGUAAGAGAGACAUCUCGAACAGGAACGAAAGUUGGCGUUAGUGAUCCGGUGGUCCCGUAUGGAAGGGCCAUCGCUCAUUGGAUAAAAGGUACGCCGGGGAUAACAGGCUGAUCGCAUCCAAGAGUUCACAUCGACGAUGCGGUUUGGCACCUCGAUGUCGGCUCAUCACAUCCUGGGGCUGAAGCAGGUCCCAAGGGUACGGCUGUUCGCCGUUUAAAGUGGUACGCGAGCUGGGUUUAAAACGUCGUGAGACAGUUUGGUCCCUAUCUUCUGUGGGCGCUGGAGAAUUGAAAGGGCCUGUCCCUAGUACGAGAGGACCGGGAUGGACGCACCCCUGGUGGACCUGUUGUCGUGCCAACGGCACAGCAGGGUAGCUAUGUGCGGAAGGGAUAACCGCUGAAAGCAUCUAAGCGGGAAGCCUGCCUUAAGAUAAGUUCUCCCUGGAGCAAUCCCUGAAGGGCCGAGGUAGACUACCUCGUCGAUAGGCUGGAGGUGGAAGCGCCGCGAGGCGUGGAGCUGACCAGUACUAAUAGCCCGUGCGGCUUGUUUGA